UUUUAUUUUUAUUUUGGAAAUACUUCAGUACUUUCGCGGCUUCUCUAGUUGUACAUUUGCGUUCACAGUCCCCCGGCUCGCUGGAAAACUUCAAAACCCUCGCCCACCGCCACUCUCCCUCCCUCUCUAGAAUCAAUGGCGGAUCCAGCUCAGUGGAUUAAGCACAUAGAGUCGUUCGUCGACUCGUCUGGCUCUACGACUCAGCAGGCUGCAAGUUUAGAUGCAAUUUCUAUUCUGUUGAAGAACGGCAUGUUAACCAUAGAAGCGCUGGUUAGAGAGAUGCAGUUGUAUUUGACUACUACGGAUAACAUAAUUCGUGCAAGAGGUAUCCUUCUUCUUGCCGAGUUGCUGACACGCCUUGCAUCAAAGCCUCUAGAUGAUACUACCAUUCAGAGCUUGGUAGGAUUCUUUACAGAAAGGCUGGCAGAUUGGAAAGCCUUGCGUGGUGCACUUGUUGGUUGCCUGGCAUUAAUGAGGAGGAAAAGUAAUGCUGGUAUGGUUACUAGCAGUCAAGCAAGAGCAGUUGCUGAGUCUUACUUAAAGAACCUGCAGGUGCAAUCUCUGGGACAGCAUGACAGGAAGCUUUGCUUUGAACUUUUGGAGUGCUUAUUAGAUCGCUAUUCCAAUGCAGUUGUGGCACUGGGCGAUAAUCUUGUCUAUGGAAUCUGUGAAGCUAUUGAUGGAGAAAAGGAUCCUCAAUGUUUAAUGCUCACAUUUCAUAUUGUGGAAGGAUUGGCGCAAUUAUUUCCAGAUCCACUGGGUCCACUAGCAAGUUUUGCAGGGGAUCUUUUUGACAUUUUGGGCUGUUACUUUCCUAUCCAUUUUACACAUUCAAAAGGUGAAGAUGUUGGUGUUAAAAGGGAUGAGCUCUCAAGGUCACUUAUGCUCGCAUUUGCUUCGACGCCUCUAUUUGAGCCAUUUGCUAUUCCGUUGCUUCUCGAGAAACUUUCUUCUUCUUUGCCAUCUGCAAAGGUUGACUCCUUGAAGUAUCUUAGCUAUUGCAUUGUAAAGUAUGAAGCAGACAGAAUGGCAAAACAUGCUGAAGUCCUUUGGGCUUCAUUAAAAAAUGCAAUUUUUACUUCAAUAAUGCCUGUUUUGUCCUUGGAGUCGGAACCGGUUGAUGGUAUGGGCUUUCAGGAGAAUGAAAUUGCAACAGAAGCUCUCAUACUUCUGCAAAAAGUUAUUCUGCAAAACGAUGCCCUGUUCUUAAGUUUGAUUUCUGGUGAUGAAGACAUAAACACAACCAUCAACUCCAGUGCUAAAUUUAAUAGGUAUGAUGAUAUACCUACACAAAACAAGCAGAAACUACUAGCAGUUGGUCAAAUUCUUUCUGUUUCUGCCAAAGCUUCCAUUUCUUCCUGCAAUAGAGUGUUUGAGAAUUUCUUCAUCCGCCUGAUGGAGACUUUGGGGCUUUCAGUUCAAAAUUUAUCCGGGGUUUGCAAUCCAGAUGAAGAUCAUGUAAUUUCUGAAAGAAUUGAUUUUGGAGCCCUUUAUCUGUGUGUUGAAGUCCUUGCUGCAUGCAGAUUAGCUGUUGUGGGCACUGAAAAACUUGCCAUGACUACUGUUUCUGUGUGUGAUACGUGGUGCUGCAUGCUGCAGAAUUUUUGCAGUUCAUUAACUAAGGCCUUCAGUUCUACCUUGGUAACAAAUAUAGAUGAAUGCACUGACAAAGCUUAUAUUCACGUUGGAGUGAAGGGUUUGCAGAUUUUGGCAACAUUUCCCGGAAGCUUCUUUCCAAUACCAAAAUCCAUAUUUGAGAAUAUUUUGAUGAAGUUUAUGUCGUUCAUCACUUUGGAUAUUAACAAGACAUUAUUAUGGAAAUUGUCAUUGAAGGCACUGGUCGAAAUUGGUUCAUUUAUCGAUAAAUUUCAGGAGUCUGAGAAGGCUUCAAGCUUUAAGAGUAUUGUUGUCGAAAAGAUCGUUUCAUUGAUGUCUUCCGAUGAUUUUACUAUGCCUUUAUCACUCAAACUGGAAGUGGUUUCUGACAUUAGUAUGACUGGGUUGGAUUCCAUGCUGAGAAUUGUCGAAGGGCUGGAAAAAGCUAUAUUUGUCCAUUUAUCCGAGGUUUAUGUUAAUGGGAAUUUGAAGUCAGCUGAACUGACAGUUCAGCUUUUGGAAUGUUACUCUAAUAAGGUGCUUCCAUGGUGUCAAAAAAUUGAAGGUCUCGAGGAAGUCCCGUUCAACUUUGCAGUUAAUAUUUGGGAUCAAAUUGAAAAUAGCAUGGCUUACAGCUUUUGGUUGCAGGAGAAAGAACUUCUUUAUGCAACAACGUCAGCAAUGAAGCUUGCAGUUGGGAGUUGUUCGGAAGGAAGACAGAGCAUAAUUAUCCAAAAAGCUUUUAGUGUACUCUCAUCAAGUACUUCUUUCCAGUUGAAGGAUUCCACAUCUGGCACCACAAGAAUUGAGCAACUUGACUGCAGUGUAGACAGUUUUUCAUAUAGAGAUGAAUGGAUAACUUCUUUAUUUGCUUCAGUGGUUAUAGCUCUUCAUCCUCAAACCCACUUCCCAAAUGUUAAAGUAGUAUUGCAUGUAUUCAUGACAGCCCUUGUCAAUGGUCAUGUUCUAGCAGCUCAGGCAUUGGGUUCUAUGGUUAACAAGCUGCCUCUAAAAACCAAUGUGAUGGAUAUUUCAAGUGAUUGCAGUUUGGAAGAAGCGAUUGAUAUAGUCUUUAAUGGUAAUAUAUGGAGCUCCUUUGACAAUGGUUCUUUAAGAAGAUGCGGCGGGAUGGGUGACGGCAGUGAGAUAGGUCUUUGUAGUUUAGGACCGAGUAACGGAAAGAGUAGGUUGCUUCAAAUCCAUGCCAUUGUUGGACUAGCAUGGAUGGGAAAAGGUUUGCUUAUGCGGGGUCAUGAAAAAAUAAAAGAUAUAACUGUAACAUUUUUGACUUGCUUAUUGUCAAACGACAAUGCUGGCACCAACCAGGGUCAACUUAAAGACAGUAAUGAGCAGGAUAUGCUUUCUUUGAUGAAAUCUGCAGCAGAUGCUUUUCAUAUUCUUAUGAGCGACUCUGAAGCUUGUUUGAACAGAAGUUUUCAUGCAAUCAUCCGACCGCUCUACAAGCAACGAUAUUUCUCUACCUUGAUGCCGAUUCUGCUAUCUUCAAUAGUCAAAUCUGAUUCGUCAAUCAAAAGAUCCAUGCUUUAUCGAGCCUUCGCACAUGUCAUAUCAGAGACUCCACCCGGUGCUAUCUUGUGUGAAGCCAAGAAGCUUAUCCCCAUAAUAUUGGAUGCCUUAUCGAUGUUGAGCGAGGAUUUUAUGAAUAGAAGUAUAAUCUACAAUGUCCUGCUAGUCUUAUCUGGAAUAUUGAUGGAAAAAAAUGGACAAGAUGCUGUCAUAGAGAAUGUGCAUAACAUUAUUCGUUGUCUCAUUAGGCUUGUCUCCUACCCCCACAUGAUGCUUGUUCGGGUAACUGCAAUUCAGUGUCUUGUUGCCAUGUCUGAGCUGCCCCAUGCAAGAAUAUAUCCCAUGAGAACACAGGUAGUAAGAGCUUUACUAAUGGCUCUUGAUGAUCCGAAGAGGGCUGUUCGUCAAGAAGCUGUCAGAUGUCGACAAGCAUGGGCAUCAAUUGCAUCCAGAAGUCUUCAUUUCUGAAAAGACAGAAGGGUUCUUCCAAGCGUGGCUAGGAAUGCAUUGAUGAGAAGUGUUUCCCCUAUUCUUGAAACUCACUAAUGGAGUAACAAUGAUAGGCAAUGCAGAUGGCAUUUCGUGUAAGAGAUGAAAUGGUAAAGCUUUUUUUAGGAGCACAUCCAAGGAGCAGCAUCAAUUCGUUUUAUAGCUUUGAAUGAAGGACGAAAGGAUGGUAGGCUGACAUUGUUUUGAUGAAUCAUUCGACUCCCAGGCAUGGUACUCAGAGAACAUAUAUGGUCAUCAUGUUUAAUAAGUAGUACAUGUAUAUAUGUAAAAUCUUCAGAAAAUUGAGUUAAUAUGCACAGAGGAGUUAAUUAUUCGUUCAGGGAAGGCUUAUUUAAUUUGUUCCUUUUUCUUUAGUUUCACUAGUCAGUUGCAGUUGGUUGUGAAACUUUGUACGGUUGAAUUCACAAGAAUACAGGUAACGGUGUAAGUGCAUGUAAGAGUGUCUCUCAUUGAUCGGUGGUACCUUUCUUGAGUAGAAUUUAUUCAAUAUUGGUGACUUUUUCGAGUA